AAGGUUUCCGUAGGUGAACCUGCGGAAGGAUCAUUAUUGAAUUUUAAUGAAGAGUUUGGUUGUAGCUGGCCCAUUCAUUUGGGCAUGUGCACACCUUCCUCUUUCAUCCCACACACACCUGUGAACCUGUGAGACAGAGAUGGGGAAUUUACUUGCUGCUUUUUGGAAUACAAAGGCAAUAGGUUAUUGGACCCCCCCUCUGUCUACUCAAUUAAUAUAAACUCAAUUUAUUUUAAAACGAAUGUAAUGGAUGUAACACAUCUCAUACUAAGUUUCAACAACGGAUCUCUUGGCUCUCGCAUCGAUGAAGAACGCAGCGAAAUGCGAUAAGUAAUGUGAAUUGCAGAAUUCAGUGAAUCAUCGAAUCUUUGAACGCACCUUGCGCUCCUUGGUAUUCCUUGGAGCAUGCCUGUUUGAGUAUCAUGAAUUCUUCAAAGUAAAUCUUUUGUUAAUUCAAUUGGUUUUCACUUUGGUAUUGGAGGUCUUUUGCAGCUUCACACCUGCUCCUCUUUGUGCAUUAGCUGGAUCUCAGUGUUAUGCUUGGUUCCACUCGGCGUGAUAAAUUAUCUAUCGCUGAGGACACUGUAAAAAGGUGGCCAAGGUAAAUGCAGAUGAACCGCUUCCAAUAGUCCAUUGACUUGGACAAUACCUUUAUGAUCUGAUCUCAAAUCAGGUAGGACUACCCGCUGAACUUAAGCAUAUCAA
rnacentral:rRNA from 1 species